rnacentral:rRNA from 1 species
UGGCUCAGAACGAACGCUGGCGGCAGGCUUAACACAUGCAAGUCGAGCGCCCCGCAAGGGGAGCGGCAGACGGGUGAGUAACGCGUGGGAAUCUACCCUUUUCUACGGAAUAACGCAUGGAAACGUGUGCUAAUACCGUAUGAGCCCUUCGGGGGAAAGAUUUAUCGGGAAAGGAUGAGCCCGCGUUGGAUUAGCUAGUUGGUGGGGUAAAGGCCUACCAAGGCGACGAUCCAUAGCUGGUCUGAGAGGAUGAUCAGCCACAUUGGGACUGAGACACGGCCCAAACUCCUACGGGAGGCAGCAGUGGGGAAUAUUGGACAAUGGGCGCAAGCCUGAUCCAGCCAUGCCGCGUGAGUGAUGAAGGCCCUAGGGUUGUAAAGCUCUUUCACCGGUGAAGAUAAUGACGGUAACCGGAGAAGAA